AUACAUGCAAGUCGAACGGAAACCUUCGGGUUUUAGUGGCGAACGGGUGAGUAACACGUAAGCAACCUACCCUAAAGACGAGGAUAACCAUUGGAAACAGUGGCUAAGACUGGAUAGGAAGAUAAAAGGCAUCUUGUAUCUUUUAAAAGACCUAGUUAAUAGGUAUGCUUUAGGAGGGGCUUGCGCCAUAUUAGUUAGUUGGUAGGGUAAUGGCCUACCAAGACGAUGAUGUGUAGCUGGACUGAGAGGUUGAACAGCCACAUUGGGACUGAGACACGGCCCAAACUCCUACGGGAGGCAGCAGUAGGGAAUUUUCGGCAAUGGAGGAAACUCUGACCGAGCAACGCCGCGUGAAUGACGAAGUACUUCGGUAUGUAAAGUUCUUUUAUCGAGGAAGAAAAGCAAAUGGCGAACCAUUUGUUUGCCGGUACUUGAUGAAUAAGCCCCGGCUAAUUAUGUGCCAGCAGCCGCGGUAAGACAUAAGGGGCAAGUGUUAUCCGGAAUUAUUGGGCGUAAAGGGUGCGUAGGCGGUCUAGUAAGUCAGUGGUGUAAUGGCAACGCUUAACGUUGUCCGGCUAUUGAAACUGCUAAACUUGAGUUAGAUAGAGGCGAGUGGAAUUCCAUGUGUAGCGGUAAAAUGCGUAAAUAUAUGGAGGAACACCAGAGGCGUAGGCGGCUCGCUGGGUCUUAACUGACGCUGAGGCACGAAAGCGUGGGGAGCAAACAGGAUUAGAUACCCUGGUAGUCCACGCCGUAAACGAUGAGUACUAAGUGUCGGGUUAAACCGGUACUGAAGUUAACACAUUAAGUACUCCGCCUGAGUAGUACGUACGCAAGUAUGAAACUUAAAGGAAUUGACGGGACUCCGCACAAGCGGUGGAUCAUGUUGUUUAAUUCGAAGAUACCCGAAAAACCUUACCAGGUCUUGACAUGUUUUUGCAAAAUGAUAGUAAUAUCGUGGAGGUUACCAGAAACACAGGUGGUGCAUGGUUGUCGUCAGCUCGUGUCGUGAGAUGUUAGGUUAAGUCCUAAAACGAGCGAAACCCUUAUCGUUAGUUGCCAGCACGUUAUGGUGGGGACUUUAACGAGACUGCCAAUGAUAAAUUGGAGGAAGGUGAGGAUCACGUCAAAUCAGCAUGCCCCUUAUGACCUGGGCUACAAACGUGAUACAAUGGCUGUUACAAAGGGUAGCUGAAACGCAAGUUCUUGGCCAAUCCCCAAAAACAGUCCCAGUCCGGAUUGAAGUCUGCAACUCGACUUCAUGAAGUUGGAAUCGCUAGUAAUCGCGAAUCAGCAUGUCGCGGUGAAUACGUUCUCGGGGUUUGUACACACCGCCCGUCAAACCACGAAAGUUGGCAAUACCCCAAAACGGUAGCCUAACUCGUUUAUUCGAGAGGGCGCCGUCUAAGGUAGGGUCGAUGAUUGGGGUUAAGUCGUAACAAGGUAUCCCUACCGGAAGGUGGGGAUGGAUCACCUCCUUUCU
rnacentral:rRNA from 1 species